UAUACAAAUGACUGCUCAUCCAUCAAAUGUAGGUUAUGUUGAUUUUGAUCAUUUUUUGAAUGCCACCACCUCAGCAUCAUUUCAGGUUUUCUCCAAACAUUUCAUCAAUAGUUAAAAAAAGACAAAGGAGAAUAUUAUGAAACUUUUAGAAUGCUCAUUUAUUGCAAUACAAUCUUUGAAAAAUUGUAUUUAAAGAAAAGCUGCAUGCACUUUAAUGGGGCAAUUUAACAUUGUUUUUUUAUUCAGCCUUAUUUGUUCAAGCAAGAAGCAAGUUUGAAUAUCUGGUAUUCAUGGUCAUAGCUGCAGAAAGAUCAAAUCUUCAGACGUCCCUUCAGACGAGCCGUCACAGGUUCACGACGAAUACUGAUAAUUUGGCACA